AUUGAACGCUGGCGGCAUGCCUAACACAUGCAAGUCGAGCGAGCGGCGGACGGGUGAGUAAUGUCUGGGAAACUGCCUGAUGGAGGGGGAUAACUACUGGAAACGGUAGCUAAUACCGCAUACCAUCAGAUGUGCCCAGAUGGGAUUAGCUAGUAGGUGGGGUAAUGGGUCACCUGGGCGACGAUCCCUAGCGGGUCUGAGAGGAUGACCAGCCACACGGUAACUGGGACACGGUCCAAACUCCAGCGGGAGGCAGCAGUGGGUAAUAUUGCACAGUGGGCGCAGGCCUGAUGCAGCCAUGCGGCGUGUAUGAAGAAGGCCUUCGGGUUGUAAAGUACUUUCAGCGAGGAGGCGUUACUCGCAGAAGAAGCACCGGCUAACUCCGUGCCAGCAGCCGCGGUAAUAC
rnacentral:rRNA from 1 species